UAGGUAUGUCAGUUGGUAAAUGAUAUUGCAUGAAGACUAUAGCAUGUAGAAAUGCUUUGAAAAUCUAAGUGACUAAAGUUCAUCUUGCCUAACUUGGAUGAUCUUGGAAAAACAAAUUUUGAGAUGGGUAUAACCAGUGGCUAAGUUCAUAAAAUAGAAGAAUCCCACUGCAAAUGGUAGGUGGCUUGGGUAGACACUGCCACUAUUUGCAACACAACAGGCUCAACAUUAAAAAGUGUUAGCUGAAGUUGCUUUUGGGGUUGUUUGGCCUAACAGAUAAAUCAACAGUCUCCCCACUGCACCGUAUGAUCUCACUUUUGAGCAGUGGUACGUUGUUGGGAGAGGGGUGGAAUUAAAGAUGUAUCUUAACUGAUAUUAAUUUAUCUGCAGUAUUGAUGGAUUGUCGAUUAAUUUUUUAGGCAUCAAAAGAAAGUGUUCUA
rnacentral:misc_RNA from 1 species